UUUUUAAUAUUUUUUCAUUGCCUAGAUCACAUUGAAAAAGAUGAUAGAAAUCCAUUUGUUAUGCCUUUGGAUCAUAAAAUUAUGCUGUGCAGAGAACAAGAAAAAAAGCAAGAACAUAAAGAAAGGACAUUUUAUAAAAGAGUACCGGCUGAGAUCAAAAGCACAUUCUUAUCAAGAAUACGAGCUCAUUCUGGAUCGUAUAGGAGGCCUUUGGAGGCUGAAAAGAACACGUGUGAAGGUGAAAGAGCCCAAUAUCAGCUAAUGAACGCUAAAAGUUGUCAACGUAAGAACAUGAACAUACGAGAGUACUUGCACUGUCAGCGGGAGUCUUACCACCUUAGG